GCCCAGCCGUAAACUUUUACUUACACCUAGAUCGCCAGGGAACUACGAGCUAAGCUUAAAACCCAAAGGACUUGACGGUACCCCAUAUCCCCCUAGAGGAGCCUGUCCUAUAAUCGAUAAUCCACGUUUAACCUCACCACUUCUAGUUAAUCAGCCUGUAUACCUCCGUCGUCAGCUUACCACGUGAGCGCCAAAUAGUGAGCCUAAUGUUAUUCCACCAAUACGUCAGGUCAAGGUGCAGCAUAUGAAGUGGAAAGAGAUGGGCUACACUUUCUACCAUAGAAGAAACGAAAAACUACUUAUGAAACCUAGUUGGAAGGCGGAUUUAGCAGUAAAAAGGAAUCAGCACGUCCUUUUUAACCCGGCACUGGGGUGUGU
rnacentral:rRNA from 1 species